ACUGCCGGGAUGCGCUGCAGCGAAUGGUCGCGCGGGGCGCCGCUCUGAGUGACCUUUCACCCGCGCCCAGCGGCCUCGGGCGGCAGCACAAGGCGGAAGCCAUGGCGGAGGCGGCGGGAGAGGCGGGCGCGAGCGAGCGGGACCCAGACGCGGUCCGCGCGCGUCGGCGGCUGCGGGUUCUGUCGGGCCAUCUGCUGGGCCGGCCCCAGGAGGCUCCAAGUACCAAUGAGUGCAAAGCGCGGAGAGCCGCGUCGGCGGCCGGGGCGUCGCCCGCUGCUUCUCCCGCCGCGCCGGAGUCGGGCACCAUCCCCAAGAAGCGGCAAGAACUUAUGAAAUGGAAUGGAUGGGGCUAUAAUGAUUCCAAGUUCUUACUGAAUAAGAAGGGCCAGGUUGAGCUGACUGGGAAAAGGUAAUCUC
rnacentral:lncRNA from 1 species